rnacentral:rRNA from 1 species
AUUGAACGCUGGCGGCAGGCCUAACACAUGCAAGUCGAGCGAGCGGCGGACGGGUGAGUAAUGUCUGGGAAACUGCCUGAUGGAGGGGGAUAACUACAGGAAACGGUAGUUCAUACCGCGUACCAUCAGACGUGCGCAGGUGGGAUUAGCUAGUUGGUGGGGUAACGGCUUACCUAGGCGACGAUCCCUAGCUGGUCUGAGAGGAUGACCAGCCACACUGGAACUGAGACACGGUCCAGACUCCUACGGGAGGCAGCAGUGGGGAAUAUUGCACAAUGGGCGCAAGCCUGAUGCAGCCAUGCCGCGUGUGUGAAGAAGGCCUUCGGGUUGUAAAGCACUUUCAGCUGGGAGGCGUUACCCGCAGAAGAAGCACCGGCUAACUCCGUGCCAGCAGCCGCGGUAAUUC